UACGAAGGGGGCUAGCGUUGCUCGGAAUCACUGGGCGUAAAGGGUGCGUAGGCGGGUCUUUAAGUCAGGGGUGAAAUCCUGGAGCUCAACUCCAGAACUGCCUUUGAUACUGAAGAUCUUGAGUUCGGGAGAGGUGAGUGGAACUGCGAGUGUAGAGGUGAAAUUCGUAGAUAUCGAGAGGAACACCGGUGGCGAAGGCGGCCAACUGGACGAAUACUGACGCUGAGACACGAAAGCGUGGGGAGCAAACAGG
rnacentral:rRNA from 1 species